GUGGGUAACUCGGUCGUAUAAUUUUUGGUAGUGGGGACUGCGUUCGCGCUAUCCCCGU
rnacentral:snRNA from 10 species